rnacentral:misc_RNA from 1 species
UCCGGCUUAUCACCGGCAGUUUCCUUAUAGUCCCCGGCCGAACCGCUGGCAAAUAAGGAUGAGGGUUUCGCUCGUUGCGGGACUUAACCCAACAUCUCACGACACGAGCUGACGACAGCCAUGCAACACCUGUGUGUGGUCCAGCCGAACUGAAGGGUCUCAUCUCUGAGACCCGCGACCACCAUGUCAAGGGUUGGUAAGGUUUUUCGCGUAGCAUCGAAUUAAACCGCAUGCUCCACCACUUGUGCGAGCCCCCGUCAAUUCCUUUGAGUUUUAAUCUUGCGAUCGUAGUCCCCAGGCGGAGUGCUUAAUGCGUUAGCUGCGAAACCGAGAAUUUAAUUCCCGAUAUCUAGCACUCAUCGUUUACGGCGUGGACUAC